AUUGAACGCUGGCGGCAGGCCUAACACAUGCAAGUCGAACGGUAACAGGAAGAAGCUUGCUUCUUUGCUGACGAGUGGCGGACGGGUGAGUAAUGUCUGGGAAACUGCCUGAUGGAGGGGGAUAACUACUGGAAACGGUAGCUAAUACCGCAUAACGUCGCAAGACCAAAGAGGGGGGCCUUCGGGCCUCUUGCCAUCGGAUGUGCCCAGAUGGGAUUAGCUAGUAGGUGGGGUAACGGCUCACCUAGGCGACGAUCCCUAGCUGGCCUGAGAGGAUGACCAGCCACACUGGAACUGAGACACGGUCCAGACUCCUACGGGAGGCAGCAGUGGGGAAUAUUGCACAAUGGGCGCAAGCCUGAUGCAGCCAUGCCGCGUGUAUGAAGAAGGCCUUCGGGUUGUAAAGUACUUUCAGCGGGGAGGAAGGGAGUAAAGUUAAUACCUUUGCUCAUUGACGUUACCCGCAGAAGAAGCACCGGCUAACUCCGUG
rnacentral:rRNA from 1 species